UAGGGAAUCUUCGGCAAUGGGGGCAACCCUGACCNNAGCAACGCCGCGUGAGUGAAGAAGGUUUUCGGAUCGUAAAGCUCUGUUGUAAGUCAAGAACGAGUGUGAGAGUGGAAAGUUCACACUGUGACGGUAGCUUACCAGAAAGGGACGGCUAACUACGUGCCAGCAGCCGCGGUAAUACGUAGGUCCCGAGCGUUGUCCGGAUUUAUUGGGCGUAAAGCGAGCGCAGGCGGUUUGAUAAGUCUGAAGUUAAAGGCUGUGGCUCAACCAUAGUUCGCUUUGGAAACUGUCAAACUUGAGUGCAGAAGGGGAGAGUGGAAUUCCAUGUGUAGCGGUGAAAUGCGUAGAUAUAUGGAGGAACACCGGUGGCGAAAGCGGCUCUCUGGUCUGUAACUGACGCUGAGGCUCGAAAGCGUGGGGAGCGAACAGGAUUAGAUACCCUGGUAGUCCACGCCGUAACGAUGAGUGCUAGGUGUUGGAUCCUUUCCGGGAUUCAGUGCCGCAGCUAACGCAUUAAGCACUCCGCCUGGGGAGUACGACCGCAAGGUUG
rnacentral:rRNA from 1 species